AACGAACGCUGGCGGCAUGCCUAACGCAUGCAAGUCGAACGAGAUCUUCGGGUCUAGUGGCGCACGGGUGCGUAACGCGUGGGAAUCUGCCCUUUGGUUCGGAAUAACAGUUGGAAACGACUGCUAAUACCGGAUGAUGACGAAAGUCCAAAGAUUUAUCGCCAGAGGAUGAGCCCGCGUAGGAUUAGCUAGGUGGUGUGGUAAAGGCGCACCAAGGCGACGAUCCUUAGCUGGUCUGAGAGGAUGAUCAGCCACACUGGGACUGAGACACGGCCCAGACUCCUACGGGAGGCAGCAGUGGGGAAUAUUGGACAAUGGGCGAAAGCCUGAUCCAGCAAUGCCGCGUGAGUGAUGAAGGCCUUAGGGUUGUAAAGCUCUCUUACCCGGGAUGAUAAUGACAGUACCGGGAGAAUAAGCUCCGGCUAACUCCGUGCCAGCCGCCGCGGUAA
rnacentral:rRNA from 1 species